ACAGGGCGGAGGUGAGGAGGAGCAGGUCCGUCUGCCCAGCACAGGCCUUUCCCCAAGCCCCCUGGCCUCUACCACUGGGACGUGCCUGUGCCAGGCUUGGUGUCCCCUGAGCCUGCCACAGCAGUUCUGGGUUCUGCAUGUCGUGUUCGUCAAAGUACAUGGUGUCGCCACCCCUCAUGUUACAAAAAAUUGACACGGAUGACCUCCUGCAGCACGCAGAGGUGGAUGCCACGGUCUGUCCUCCAGGUGUUCGUGGGACAGACAGGAAGCCAGCGAUUUCCACAGGAGGUGCCAUGGGUGUGGUCAGAGUGACCACAGGGUUUCCGUGAGGCAGAGAGUAGGGGUGCCGCUCGAUGCUCUUCGGGCUCUGAGUCACUAACAGCCGGUGCCCGUGCGUCCC